rnacentral:misc_RNA from 1 species
GAGAAAAAAUAAUUUCCACAUUUCAUAUAUAUAAUUGAUUGAUACAAAAUAGAAGGGUUUUAUUGUACGUGCAAGACCGAUCGAUAUAUGCUGGUCCAGACACAUGGUGGUUGUUGGAUGGGACUCACCAGGUAGUGAUUUGAACUGGGUGAGGAUACGACGCCAAUGUUACAUGGAUCCAUGCUUAAUUUUUUUCUCUUUUUUUCCAAUUGAAGAUGAAACUUUUUUAAAUAUCAAGCCAUUAAGAGGCAUCAGAUUGUGGUGGUGUAGUAGGCCAUUCAGGUUGUGGUGGCUGUGCAGAUGCAUAAAGGAAGGAAGUGAAUGGGUUGCUGAAGGUAUUGAUGGUAGUAACUAGCAACAUAGAGGGACACCGGACAUUGCAGGACUUUCAAUUAGGCUUGCUGAAUAGCUAGUGUUGCCUAUAUCUGGUACUAGAUUGUUUUUUCUUCCUUUCUGUGUGUGGUAUGGUUUUCAGCUACUAGCCGAGCAGUAACUACUCAAUAGGGGUCCCAAUUAAUUAUCAGGGUAGGAUGUUGUCAUUAUCAUUUAUCAAUUCUAAAGCUCCCUCCAAGAAAAUAAUAGAUUUCGUUCUAAAAGAAAAGAAAAGAAAAGAA